rnacentral:rRNA from 1 species
AGUCGAGAAUUUUUCACAAUGGGGGAAACCCUGAUGGAGCGACGCCGCGUGGGGGAUGAAUGGCUUCGGCCCGUAAACCCCUGUCAUUUGCGAACAAACCUGGAUGUUUAAGAGAUGUCCGGCUGAUAGUAGCAGAAGAGGAAGGGACGGCUAACUCUGUGCCAGCAGCCGCGGUAAUACAGAGGUCCCAAGCGUUGUUCGGAUUCACUGGGCGUAAAGGGUGCGUAGGCGGUGGGGUAAGUUUGAGGUGAAAUCUCCGGGCUCAACCCGGAAGCUGCCUUGAAUACUAUCCUGCUAGAGGAUCGGAGGGGAGACUGGAAUUCUCGGUGUAGCAGUGAAAUGCGUAGAUAUCGAGAGGAACACCAGUGGCGAAGGCGAGUCUCUGGACGAUACCUGACGCUGAGGCACGAAAGCCAGGGGAGCAAA